GACGAACGCUGGCGGCGUGCUUAACACAUGCAAGUCGAACGGUGAAAGCGGAGCUUGCUCCGCUGGAUCAGUGGCGAACGGGUGAGUAACACGUGGGCAACCUGCCCCUCGCUUCGGGAUAACUCCGGGAAACCGGGGCUAAUACCGGAUAUGACCUCCUUGGGCAUCCUUGGAGGUGGAAAGUUUUUCGGUGAGGGAUGGGCCCGCGGCCUAUCAGCUUGUUGGUGAGGUAGUGGCUCACCAAGGCGACGACGGGUAGCCGGCCUGAGAGGGCGAGCGGCCACACGGGGACUGAGACACGGCCCAGACUCCUACGGGAGGCAGCAGGGGGGAAUAUUGCGCAAUGGGAGAAAGCCUGACGCAGCAACGCCGCGUGCGGGAUGACGGCCUUCGGGUUGUAAACCGCUUUCAGCAGGGAAGAAGCCGCAAGGUGACGGUACCUGCAGAAGAAGCACCGGCUAACUACGUGCCAGCCGCCGCCGUAA
rnacentral:rRNA from 1 species